AGUUUGAUCAUGGCUCAGGACGAACGCUGGCGGCGUGCCUAAUACAUGCAAGUCGAACGAACUCUGGUAUUGAUUGGUGCUUGCAUCAUGAUUUACAUUUGAGUGAGUGGCGAACUGGUGAGUAACACGGGAAACCUGCCCAGAAGCGGGGGAUAACACCUGGAAACAUGCUAAUACCGCAUAACAACUUGCCGCAUGGUCCGAGUUUGAAAGAUGGCUUCGGCUAUCACUUUUGGAUGGUCCCGCGGCGUAUUAGCUAGAGNGGUAACGGCUCACCAUGGCAAUGAUACGUAGCCUGAGAGGGUAAUCGGCCACAUUGGGACUGAGACACGGCCCAAACUCCUACGGGAGGCAGCAGUAGGGAAUCUUCCACAAUGGACGAAAGUCUGAUGGAGCAACGCCGCGUGAGUGAAGAAGGGGUUUGCUCGUAAAACUUCUGUUGUUAAAGAAGAACAUAUCUGAGAGUAACUGUUUCGUAUUGACGGUAUUUAACCAGAAAGCCACGGGCUAACUACGUGCCAGCAGCCGCGGUAAUACGUAGGUGGCAAGCGUUGUCCGGAAAUGGGCGUAAAGCGAGCGCAGGCGGGUUUUUUCUGAUGUGAAAGCCUUCGGCUCAACCGAAGAAGUGCAUCGGAAACUGGAACUUGAGUGCAGAAGAGGACAGUGGAACUCCAUGUGUAGCGGUGAAAUGCAGAUAUAGAAGAACACCAGUGGCGAAGGGCUGUCUGGUCUGUAACUGACGCUGGCUCGAAAGUAUGGGUAGCAAACAGGAGAUACCCUGGUAGUCCAUACCGUAAACGAUGAAUGCUAAGUGUUGGAGGGUUUCCGCCCUAGUGCUGCAGCUAACGCAUUACAUUCCGCCUGGGGUACGGCCGCAAGGCUGAAACUCAAAGGAAUUGAGGGGCCCGCACAAGCGGUGGAGCAUGUGGUUUAAUUCGAAGCUACGCGAAGAACCUUACCAGGUCUUGACAUACUAUGCAAAUCUAAGAGAUUAGGUUCCCUUCGGGGACAUGGACAGGUGGUGCAUGGUUGUCGUCAGCUCGUGUCGUGAGAUGUUUUAAGUCCCGCAACGCGCAACCCUUAUUAUCAGUUGCCAGCAUUAAGUUGGGCACUCUGGUGAGACUGCCGGUGACAAACCGGAGGAAGGUGGGGAUGACGUCAAAUCAUCAUGCCCCUUAUGACCUGGGCUACACACGUGCUACAAUGGAUGGUAACGAGUUGCGAACUCGCGAGAGUAAGCUAAUCUCUUAAAGCCAUUCUUUCGGAUUGUAGGCUGCAACUCGCCUACAUGAAGUCGGAAUCGCUAGUAAUCGCGGAUCAGCANUGCC
rnacentral:rRNA from 2 species